UGAUGAAUCCAAGGUCUCGUACUGCUGGCCAGAGUACUUUCAAGAUGGCCCAAGCUCAUUUAACUUCCGAAGCAUCCACUUGGUUCUCAAGAAAUUCCUGAGUCCUUGUGGGGCAAUCUGUUUUUGCCUUGCCAUCACGUGCUGCUCCAGCCAGACUCCUACCUUCAGGAUUCUCCAGAUGAGAGGCAGAUCCAGUGUUUGUGACUGUGCUGGGCUGUCUACUGGGAAGGCAGCAGAAAUACCUGUUAGGCAGGAACCCCUGAAGUGGACAACACAAGGAACUCAUUUUAUGAAGGCACCGAUUUUCACAUGUUCCUGUAUCCUGGAGAUAUGUUGUCAUUUUUGAAACAUUCACAACAUGCCGUAGCAAGAAAGAGAACCUUUGUUGCCUCCAUUCAAGGAGGAAAAUUGAGAUUCAGCUGGGAGAAGCAGGAAGCAUCCAGUCAGCACGAUAGCAAGGAGAAUUUUUAUUACAUGGCAGAUUGUGAAGAUUUUUGCUUUAAGACAGACACGGUCCUGCUAUAAGCAAGGCAAGAUGUAAACGAUUUUUUGAAAACAAGUAUUGGCCUGGAUUUUGUCUCAAGAUGGUGCCUCAUGAACCUUGGUAUUCAGUGAAAUUAUUCUGAAUGAAUGAGAAAGCCUCCAGCCCAAAGCUUGAUACAGAUCCCCAAAGCCUAGCCAGAUCUUCCCACUGCCAAACCCAUCCAACCUUCACCGGUCUGGUCCAUUCUUCCUCUUUCGGACUCCUAUCAAGGAACACCUCCUUCUCUAAGUCUAAUAUUAUUCUCCCAAGAAGAGUUAGUUGCUGGAUAAUUUUUGCCUCACCGUGCAUGGCUUUCUCCUCUUCGUGGAAUCUGCCACACUGUUUUGUAAGUUCUUUAUACAAAAAAGUUUCUUCCAUUAGAUUAUUAGCUACUUAUAUCCCCAUAGUUUUACAUGGUGCCUGGCACAUAGUAGGGCAAAAUAUGUGUUUGAAGAACAAUUAA
rnacentral:lncRNA from 1 species